rnacentral:rRNA from 1 species
UUGAUGGGAGCUUGCUCCCUGAGAUUAGCGGCGGACGGGUGAGUAACACGUGGGUAACCUGCCUGUAAGAUUGGGAUAACUCCGGGAAACCGGAGCUAAUACCGGAUAACAUCUUGAACCGCAUGGUUCAAAAUUGAAAGAUGGCGUCUAGCUAUCACUUACAGAUGGACCCGCGGCGCAUUAGCUAGUUGGUGAGGUAACGGCUCACCGAGGCAACGAUGCGUAGCCGACCUGAGAGGGUGAUCGGCCACACUGGGACUGAGACACGGCCUAGACUCCUACGGGAGGCAGCAGUAGGGAAUCUUCCGCAAUGGACGAAAGUCUGACGGAGCAACGCCGCGUGAACGAUGAAGGCCUUCGGGUCGUAAAGUUCUGUUGUUAGGGAAGAACAAGUACCAGAGUAACUGCUGGUACCUUGACGGUACCUAACCAGAAAGCCACGGCUAACUACGUGCCAGCAGCCGCGGUAAUACGUAGGUGGCAAGCGUUGUCCGGAAUUAUUGGGCGUAAAGCGCGCGCAGGUGGUUUCUUAAGUCUGAUGUGAAAGCCCACGGCUCAACCGUGGAGGGUCAUUGGAAACUGGGGAACUUGAGUGCAGAAGAGGAAAGUGGAAUUCCAAGUGUAGCGGUGAAAUGCGUAGAGAUUUGGAGGAACACCAGUGGCGAAGGCGACUUUCUGGUCUGUAACUGACACUGAGGCGCGAAAGCGUGGGGAGCGAACAGGAUUAGAUACCCUGGUAGUCCACGCCGUAAACGAUGAGUGCUAAGUGUUAGAGGGUUUCCGCCCUUUAGUGCUGCAGCUAACGCAUUAAGCACUCCGCCUGGGGAGUACGGUCGCAAGACUG